rnacentral:rRNA from 1 species
GACGUAGGGCGCGAGCGUUGUCCGGAGUUAUUGGGCGUAAAGAGCUCGUAGGCGGCUUGUCGCGUCGACUGUGAAAUCCCGCGGCUCAACUGCGGGUCUGCAGUCGAUACGGGCAGGCUAGAGUUCGGUAGGGGAGACUGGAAUUCCUGGUGUAGCGGUGAAAUGCGCAGAUAUCAGGAAGAACACCCGUGGCGAAGGCGGCUCUCUGGGACGGUACUGACGCUGAGACGCGAAAGCGUGGGGAGCGAACAGG